GAGCUUUUUAUGCUUGUACGAAGCGGAGAGCUGCUAUCUAUCUGAACAAUCAAUUUUAUUAUCGAAUGCAUGUACACAGAAAUAAAACAUACUAAGGCUUCGUUCGGGAUUGCGGGGUGAUUGCGUUACGUGCGGUGAGAAAGUACGUUGGAAAAAUACACUAUUUGUUUCCGUACGUAAUAUUGCGUUCCGCAUAUUGCGAUGAGUCGGUUACAAUAUAUUUUAUGCAGUCCCAUCGGAGAAUGCAGAAGCAUAUCCCUAUAUAUUUUUUCCUCAACUCCAUUUUAUGUAAUAGCAUUAUAUAGACCUCAAUUUUAAACUAAGCCUAAAUACAUUAAACUAGUAUGAUUGAUAACUCCUCAUGAUUUUGUGACCCUAAAGGCCCCCUUUGGUUUUGAGAUAAAAAAAGGAAUAACUCUUUUUAUCUCACUAUUCUUGCCAAACACCAAGCAAAAUUGGCAUGUUAAUUUAUCCCCACGUUAACAGAUUAUUCCGGAAUAACCCGUUAAGAGGGAAGAAUAGUAGUUCCAUCUAUUGGGUGGAACAAGCUAUUCUCUAAUUUAUUCCUCUACUAAUUAAGUUAAAAAUAAUUAUAAAUUAUAAUUAAUUAAUACAAUUAAAAUUUUAAAUAAUUGACUAAUUAAUUAAUUAAGUUAUUAAAUUAAUAAAUAUUUAAAUAAUAAUCUAUUUAUAAUUUAUUAUUAUUUAUCUAAUUAAAUUUUUAAAAUUUUAAAAAUUUGAAUUUUUAAAAAUUAUAAUUUGUAAUCUCAAAAUUAAAGUUUAUAAUAAGAGAGUAAUAUCAUUAUUUUUUCUUUAUAAAACCUAUUAUAUUUCUUAUUCCAUCUUAUCUAACCGAACACUAUUUUUUUUAUUCUUAGAAAUAACCUAAUUUUCAUCCAAACUUAAAAUUGAUCUAAUCCCCGCUUAUACCUCAAUUUAUACCUAUUCCUAAAAUAGCCACUUUUUUGCUUAUCCCCGAACCAAACGAUACCUAAAGUCUAUAACACAUAAACGAGUACAUACAUGUGACCAAAAAAUAGAGUCCAAAUCG
rnacentral:lncRNA from 1 species